AUGAUCUCUACAUCCGUCCUGCUGCUGCUGCUGGCAGCCGUACACUAUUUGCAUGGUGGAGAACUGACUCAGCCUGCUUCCAUGACAGUCCAGCCAGGACAGAGUCUCUCCAUCCACUGCAAGGUUUCAUACUCAGUUACGAGCUAUGGUACAGCUUGGAUCCGACAACCUGCAGGAAAAACUCUGGAGUGGAUUGGAAUCAUCUAUUAUGAUGGGAGUACCUCUUCCAGUGAGAAACUGAAAAACAAGUUCAGCAUCUCCAGAGACACUGCUACAAACACAAUAACAAUUCAAGGACAGAAUCUGCAGACUGAAGACACAGCUGUAUAUUACUGUGCAAGACGCAGCCUCUUUACUCACUGUGACUACUACGGCUACUUUGACUACUGGGGAAAAGGAACUCAAGUGACCGUGACUUCAGCAGUGCCAAGCGCGCCGAAGUCCCUGUUUCCCGUGUGGCAGUGCGGCUCGUCCCCGGACGGUUACGUCACUCUGGGCUGCAUCACGAGCGAUUUGGCCACCGCCGACGGACUGAGCUUCAAAUGGACGGAUGCGAACGGGAGCGCGCUGACUGACUUCGUGCAAUACCCAGCGGUGCGCGCGAACGGAGGCUUCACCUCGGUGAGCAACGCGCGCGUCAAGGCUGCCGACUGGGACCAGAGCAAGAAGUUCACGUGCCAAGUGGAAAAUAGCCUCGGUUCCAAAGAAGCGACCUUACAAAAGAUAGAUGUGAUCGAGCACCCCCCUACAUCUCUGCUUCUAACAACUCCCACCCAAAAAGAACUAGACAAUGGAACAGCUACCUUCAUCUGCUUAGCUGCACAUUUUUCGCCUAAAUCACACACGUUUAAGUGGACUCUUGAAAACCAGGACCUCGGUUCGAAGGUCAAAGACACCAUAUUAAGCCAAGAUAAAGGUGCUUACACUGCCAUAAGUAUUUUGGAAAUCAAGGCCUUCGAAUGGACGGGUCCAGUGAAGUGCGAAUUCCAGCAGAAGAAAUGGAAAGGAUCCGAAGAGGCGAAUUAUGUGUCAGUUCCAAAGCAGCCCGAGCUGAGCAUCUGCCCACCUUCCACCAGGGACAUACUGUUCGAUCGCGCCGGCGAGCUCGAGUGCAGGACCGACUUGGAUUCGGGUUUCAAGAGCAUUAAAUGGAUUAAUGACGAGGGUGAGGAGCUCUCUUCUGUCAAAAAAGUCUCAACGGAUUCCAAGGUCAGACUCAUCACCUCGAUCAGUUUCGAUGACUGGAGCAAAGGCACCAAUUUCACCUGCGAGGUGGAAAAUUCAGCGUUCAUCCAGCAGUAUAAAUCAGUCGUCUACCAAAGAACGAGUGGCGAAAAACACUGCCCCAAGGUUUACUUGCUCCCGCCACCAGAGAGACCAGGCAAAUCGGUGACCCUGACUUGCUAUGUAAAAGACUUCUACCCUAAGGAGGUGUAUGUGUCUUGGCUUGUUGACGAUAAUCAAGUGGACGAUGCGAAAGGCUAUAAGCACAACACCACUCGGGUUCUCGAGAGAGACCACCUGUUUUCAGUGUACAGCCAGCUGAUUGUCAGCAGUACAGAAUGGGAGAGUGGCGCUGUGUUCAGCUGCAGGGUUUAUCACGAGUCCAUCGAGGACUCUGUGCGCCUCAUAUCCAGAUCCAUCAAUAACAAAGCGACUCCACCCACCUUAGUGAAUCUCAACCUGAAUGUUCCCCCGACCUGCCAGACGUAUUAGAAACUGUGUUGUCUGCUAUUAAUGCUUGUUUUAUGUUUAUUUUUGCCCCGUCUUCCAUGUCCUUUUUUUUUUUUUAAUUAAUGCAAUGUCAUUGUCCUGAAGUCUGUCUGAUGCUUGUGUGUCCUUGGUCUUUGGAAUAUGUCUGAUGCAAUAUUACACUGAAACAAUGACAAUAAAAAAAUCCUUCAGCAUGUA